rfam:Lupinus angustifolius cultivar Tanjil contig_14702, whole genome shotgun sequence.
AUUCCCAAUGAUGUUGGUUUACUACCAUGCUAAUGCUGAUAACAUGAUUAAUACUAUCAUUAUACUGAGGGAAUA